GAUGAAGAACGCAGCGAAAUGCGCUAAGUAAUGUGAAUUGCAGAAUUCAGUGAAUCAUCGAAUCUUUGAACGCACAUUGCGCCCAUUAGUAUUCUAGUGGGCAUGCCUGUUCGAGCGUCAUUAAGUCCACUUAAGCCCUGCUUAGUGUUGGGAGACUGCUCCAGCGGUGCUACCCUGUAGCUACCCUGCAGCUCCUCAAAGACAGCGGCGGAGUUGUGGUAUCCUCUGAGCUUAGUAACUUGUUCUAGCUUUCGAGUACACCACUUCCCCUGCCGUAAAACCCUUAAUUUUUAAUGGUUGACCUCGGAUCAGGUAGGAAUACCCGCUGAACUUAAGCAUAUCAAUAAGCGGAGGA
rnacentral:misc_RNA from 1 species